rnacentral:rRNA from 1 species
AUUGAACGCUGGCGGCAGGCCUAACACAUGCAAGUCGAGCGGAUGAAGGGAGCUUGCUCCUGGAUUCAGCGGCGGACGGGUGAGUAAUGCCUAGGAAUCUGCCUGGUAGUGGGGGAUAACGUCCGGAAACGGGCGCUAAUACCGCAUACGUCCUGAGGGAGAAAGUGGGGGAUCUUCGGACCUCACGCUAUCAGAUGAGCCUAGGUCGGAUUAGCUAGUUGGUGGGGUAAAGGCCUACCAAGGCGACGAUCCGUAACUGGUCUGAGAGGAUGAUCAGUCACACUGGAACUGAGACACGGUCCAGACUCCUACGGGAGGCAGCAGUGGGGAAUAUUGGACAAUGGGCGAAAGCCUGAUCCAGCCAUGCCGCGUGUGCGAAGAAGGUCUUCGGAUUGUAAAGCACUUUAAGUUGGGAGGAAGGGCAGUAAGUUAAUACCUUGCUGCUUUGACGUUACCAACAGAAUAAGCACCGGCUAACUUCGUG